UGGGGAAUCUUCGGCAAUGGACGAAAGUCUGACCGAGCAACGCCGCGUGAGUGAUGAAGGUUUUCGGAUCGUAAAACUCUGUUGUUAGAGAAGAACAAGUACCGUUUGAAUAAGGCGGUACCUUGACGGUACCUAACGAGAAAGCCCCGGCUAACUACGUGCCAGCAGCCGCGGUAAUACGUAGGGGGCAAGCGUUGUCCGGAAUUAUUGGGCGUAAAGCGCGCGCAGGCGGUUUCUUAAGUCUGAUGUGAAAGCCCACGGCUCAACCGUGGAGGGUCAUUGGAAACUGGGAGACUUGAGUGUAGGAGAGGAAAGUGGAAUUCCACGUGUAGCGGUGAAAUGCGUAGAGAUGUGGAGGAACACCAGUGGCGAAGGCGACUUUCUGGCCUAUAACUGACGCUGAGGCGCGAAAGCGUGGGGAGCAAACAGGAUUAGAUACCCUGGUAGUCCACGCCGUAAACGAUGAGUGCUAGGUGUUAGGGGUUUCGAUGCCCUUAGUGCCGACGUUAAC
rnacentral:rRNA from 1 species